CGUGGGCGUGGGGAAGGAAGCGACACAGAGCUGGGGGUAGGAAGAUGAGCUCGAGCUGGAGUGCCUGUGCUGCAAGGAGCAGAAGGAAUUCAGGCUUGCCAGAGUUUCUUAAGUGUGUGUUGGUGUUCUCUGGGAAAUGCAGACGUUUGGGGAAGUGCCUUUGGAGGAGAGGAGCUUGAUUCUCAAGGAAACUGCUUCCCCAGGAGCCCCCAGUGAGGUAGGUGCAAUUACAAUCUGGACCCCAGCUCAUGCUCAGUAUUUACUACAAUCUUAAAUAACAAUAAAGUCAAACACAACAGAUGACUGAUGUUCCUACCUUCUGCUUCCCAAACACAGCCAAGGGUGGCAGCAGCUACAGCUCCAUUCUCCUGAGCUCACAGCACAGCGCAGCUGUUCCAGCCACACCAGCAGGGACCAGCCGCAGGUUGUACAGCCCGUGCCUGAGCCAGGAUCAGAGCACAUUUCCUCUCAGGUAAUGGGAGCCCCGUGCUCUUCCACAAGAGAAUGAAUGUGAAGAAUGCCAGAGCAAAUUCAAGUCUCUUGAGCCUGGUGAAGAUGAAAUCUGCUUCUGUCCUUGUACAGAGCUAUGGGUUUGUUUACGUGGCUUCUCCUUCCCUUUUCUGCCUGGCUUUCUCACCUGCAGUUUUCAGUAGAAAAGUGAAGCCAUAGGUGGAAUAAAUAGACUCCACAACCUGAUGUAGUUAUGAAGUGGGUCUGUAUUGUCAGCACCCGGCACAAGCAAGACAGCUCUCCUGAAAACUUGUGCCUUGAGCCCUGGUCUGAGCCCCAUGUUUUACUCACAAAGGUGCUCCAUAUAGAUGACAUUGCUGAACCUUUUCAUGCAUAUUCAACCCCUGGCCCCGCCUGUCCUUGCCUGGCAUGAUAAUUAGAUCCAUGCCCUUCUGAGCAUGCCUUGUUCAUGGUGGGGGUCACAUAGGAGUCUUUGGUGGUCUCUGAGGCCAAAGACUGUGGUCAUCCUUAUGGCUGAACUUUUCAACUUUUCUCCUUUGUGCGUGUGCUUUGGUCCCUUGGUGCUUCUCUGAGUACGUCUGUCGGUCUUGAUGAGCUUGGAGACAGAGGAGCCCCUUUAUCUGGGUUUCUGCAUCCUUGGUCUUCUCCCAGUAUUGUUCUCUAUGCAAGAAGCUUCUGGUAUUUGCAUUUUUCUAUUCUUUUUGUACUAUGACAGAGGUUUCUUAAAUAAAAGGGUAAAAUUCAACACAUAAUUCUGCAAGCUAAAAUUUAAGUGCUUAAUUCAUAUUGCUAACUCAAGGGAGCUCCAAAAAUCUCUCUUUCAAAAGCAACAAACCUUUGAAAGGUUAAACCUCAACAUAACUGUGAUCCUCAAUCAAUACCUCCUUCUUCCACUUGCUUAAAAUCUCUUUCUCCUGGGCACUCAGUAUGGCCUUUUUCCUGGAAGCUCUUUGGCUGUCUUGAAUGCUUAUGGAGUAACAGGUAAUCCCUGAUCUAUUUUUGACUCUGCCCAGACAGAGACUGCUGGAAGGGAGGUAGGACUGGUACUGGGGACCUGGCAGCUUGUCCAGGAAGAAAAUUAGUGAAAUAAUGGUAAUGUGGACAAGGCAUGCAAGUCCAGGUGGUGAGCUCAAAUAUGCAAGUACUUGCAGUUUCCCCUCAGCACUUGACAGUUAAGGGGUAUGGUCUCUUCUUAUUUCUGUCUCUUAAUCCUCAAUCCUUGCCACACUCCUUCAACAUCUUUUGCAUUGUCAUCUUCCCUGUUUUCUCCCUCCCUUCUUCUUUCUGUGACUUUCUGUACAUGACAGACAAUCUGUCACACACUGUCAGCUGCUCAGUCACCCGAGCAGUGAUAAUGAUGGUGUAGAAAUUGUAGGUGCACAGGAGGCAAAGGUGUCAUGCUUCUGUGUGCCCUCUGCAGGCAAACCUGCUUCCCAAAGCUUCAGUCACACUUGGAACAAAGGCUUGUCCCCACUGCUUUGUUGUGGUUUAUGCAUUGAUGGAGCAACACUUCUGUCUCAGCCCGCUUAAGCCACUGCAAAGCUGGAAUUGUUGCUUUAGCAGCAGAUGUGCUGGCAGGGUUCUUACAGCUCCUUAGUAAGAACUCUGCACUUCUUCUAGAAGAGGUUUCUGAUCUUUGUGCAAUAAAAACAAUGCCUUCAACUGCUGCAGUGCAAGUCAUGCACUCAUGUAGAUGUGUUUUCAGACACAGGUAUUUCUAUAUAUGCCUAGUGAGUGGCCCGUGGGGAGCAGGGACAAACGAGGAAGGAAAGUGGGCUGAUAAAACAUGCUUCUGCUCCAAAAAAAAGCCAUGACUUCCCUUCAUAGAGAAGGAUAUAAAAUUUUUCUUGAUUGGCCUGAAGGGAAUAAAGGGAAUAAACAAGUCUCUCUAUGUCCUGCUCUUUUACUAGUCUGAAAUUGUUCAGAAAGGUUGCAAUUUUUUUUUUUGGUUUUUUGUGGGUUUGUUGUUUUUUUGGUUUUUUUUGUUGUUUUUUUUUUUUUUUUUUUUUUUGUGGUGCGGGGUCAGGUCUGCAUUUCAAGCCUGUUCUCCCAGCAGUCAGGGCCCUGCACAGCUGCUGUGGGUGGGGCAGGUGCUCAGGUAAUUAUCAGCAGGUGCUUGGUAAUUACUGACAGCCAUGUGAGAAGUUGGCUUGUGCCUGGUUGAGGGCUUGAGGGCUGUGCUGAGACAAGGGCUAGGCAGUGGAGUGGAAAAUACAAUUUACACAAGCAGAACCUGCUAUCCCCGUGUGCUUGGAACAGGUGUGGAGGGGCCCCAAGGUAUCCUCAGAAUGGGCUUUGCCCUCACCUUGGCUUGUGCUGCUGCAGAUUUUGGAGACAAUUGUGCAUAAGAACGGGCACUAGAACCAGACUGGGGGCUGGCAUGCUCUGGAUUUCCAGGAUGGCUCAAGGACAGGGUAAGGUGCUGUCGGUGCACUCUGGAUCAAGCUGUGAUUCUAUGGACACUUCAAUAAGAGAGGGUUUUUCAGGGUGAUUAAACCUUCAUCCUUGCUGUGCUUUCUAUGACAUUUGUAUCUCUAUUUUGUAAAACUUCAGAAAUCCAAAUCAUCUUUGGCCCUGUGAAAUGUUACAAACAUCAGCAAAAGUCAUCAUAGUUUGCAUGCGAAAAUACAUAAUUUUUGACAUUUGGGAAUUGGAAAUUCUGAUAAUUUAAAACUGAUUUCUAUUGCUGAUGAUACAGAAAGGGGACAGGUUGGUGCCUUGGGGCUUAUGUCUGCUACUGUUGACUGAAAAAAAUAAUUUGAAGUAGCACCCUAUGACUGUGGAUGGCCAGAACGGAGGUCCAGGAGGCUUGACAGGUGUUUACUACUGAGUCUUUGACCUUUCCUGCCAAGUAAAAAUUAUAA